rnacentral:rRNA from 1 species
CAAUAGCGUAUAUUAAAGUUGUUGCAGUUAAAAAGCUCGUAGUUGGACCUUGGACCUGGACAGGCGGUCCGCCUCACGGCGUGUACUGUCUUGCUGGGUCUUUCCUCUUGGUGAUCUGUUGUUUCGGCAGCAGGGAACCAGGACUUUUACUUUGAAAAAAUUAGAGUGUUCAAAGCAGGCUCGACGCCGGAAUAUAUUAGCAUGGAAUAAUAAAAUAGGACGUGCGGUUCUAUUUUGUUGGUUUUUGGAAUCGCCGUAAUGAUUAAUAGGGACAGUCGGGGCAUUAGUACUCACAUGCUAGAGGUGAAAUUCUUGGAUUUUGUGAAGACUAACUUCUGCGAAAGCAUUUGCCAAGGAUGUUUUCAUUAA